rnacentral:ncRNA from 2 species
CCCUGUUCCUGGGGGAGCCUGUCGAGGCUGAGAUUCGGUGACUGCCGUGGUUACCGUAACCCUUUGAACCUGAUCCGGGUCAUGCCGGCGAAGGGAAGGAGAAUUGCAGUGUG